AAGAAACUUCUUCCUCCCGUAGUCCCUCUUCAACAUGGAGAUUGGAUGAAGCUCAUCACCUACUAGAGCUCCACCCUAACUCGAUUGAUAUCUUCCACGACCAUGAGCUUAAGCUUCAUUAGACGGUAACGGUAAAUGGCAUUGACUUCAAUCUGAAGGGGAUGAAUAUUAGGAGGAGCCGAAAUUAGUGAGGUGAAGCAGUGGAGGUUGCAGAUGAUAAUGUAAAGUUUCAUCAGUUGCAUUGCUAUUAUUUGAGGUAAUUCUAUUGUACUUGUGUAUGAAACAUGUUAAUUACAAAUCCAUUUUUGCUAAUUUAGGGAGAAUUUGUUAAACCUAAAACCCUAACACCAAAAUUAGGAUUUGCAAUUGUGAAGGUAUUUCAGAGCACAGAUGAGAGCUGGGUUGCUGUCUUGUGAUUGGGGAAGUAAUAAAAAUUUAGGAAAAUGUAGGAGGAUAGCUCAAUUUGUUGGACACUGGACUCCUACAUUGGCGCAAUAGAGGCAACGCCGCUGGAGUGGGCAAGUGAAUGAAUGAAACUGCCUUGCUACUUUUUUUUUCCUUGAGAAUAUCACAUAAUUCACGCUGCCUUCUUGCUUUCUUGUUUGGAAGACGAAGAAAAAGAAAUUUAAACAGUGACAGCUUUUGAGAAUUUGAGUCAUGGUUGUGUAAAAGCUUACAUUGCUGGGCUAUUGUCAUUGUUCUUGAGUAUAUAUAAUCACUGUCCAAAACAAUCUGACAUGUCACAAUGCUUAAGAAUCUUUGCUUGUUGUCCUUAAAAAGCAACAAUGUAGUUUUAGUUGGUAAUGUUGGGCACCUGUUUUCUUCGUUUUUUGGAGAGAUUUACAACUCGAAUGAAUUUGAGAUUAACACUAGCUAUUGCUAAUCAAUAUUCAAUACCAAAUACUAGAAUUUUGAUGAAAGGUGGAAUUCAUGUCAUUUUGGGCUAUUCAUUUUUUCAUUAUGUAUAUAUCCAAACUUUGCAGCUCUUAGAUUUAAUUUGUGCAUCUUUGUUAAAGCGAUAAAGUCACACUUUAAUUUGGGAGUAUUUGUUAAAGUCAAGCCUUAGUUAGUAAAGGUUUCCAUUUCGUCUUCAAUUCAUAGUUAGUAAAGUCAGGUUUACCUUGUUGUUUAUUACGAGUUUGUUUCUUUGCUAAGCAUAGUAGUGGUUUGUCAUAACUCAUAAGAAUUAGCAAGGGUCAAUAGUGUUAACAAACAACUUUGGUAUGUGAUUUUUAGGUCUACAAUUAUUCAGUAAUAUAACAUAUUUUUUUAAUUUAAAGGCAUGUUGAUUAGCCUCCCCCUCCAAGGUUCCCUCAAUGCUAUAGCCACGUGCAUCUACUGCCACUCCAUUGAUCUUGGAAAGUCCAGUAUUUGUCUCUGCGAGUAAUGAAGGAGGAAAUGAAGCUAUUACAAUGUCAAUAGGCAAUUCUUCUCCUCUUGGGCUCUAUUGCCUGGCAUUCACGUACCAAACAACUGCAAGAAUGACUAUGGGUAUCAUCUUUAGAGCAUCCAUUCUCAUGGGAUUGCUUUGCUAUGGUUUGCUUUCUAGUCCAGCAAUUGCCAUGUCCAAUGUAACAAAUGAGACAUGGCUGAUAUACCAGGGUCGAUGCACAACAAUUCCAGAGUGUAUUGCAAUUUGUAAGUAAGAAAAAUACGCUGAUGGAGGCGUUUGCAAAAAGCCUUCUAGUGAUUCACCCUACGUUAAUUGCUAUUGCAUAGCCUAUUGAAUUAUAAGAAGCCUUGGAAUUGUGUGAUCUUUGCGUGAUGAUUCUGAGUUAUUAUGGAAUGAAUAAUUAUUUUGAUGAAUAAUAGCAAUUUAUUUUACUAAAAAAAAAAGGGAAAUGAAGCUAUUGCUCCUGGAAAUGAAAGUGGUACUUUGAAUACCAAUAGAGGACAAGCGACAACCCGGGACAAUAAUGCUCAAAAGGAAUGGUAAGUGAAGGAGAUGGUCAAUUUCAUAUGCCUAAAAGAAAUAAAAUGUUAGAGGCAUGGGAUGACUUCGACGAAUUUCAAGGAGUGUGAUGACUCACCUUCUUCUAGGGCGUAUCCUAAAAGUUAGCGGAUUGCCUGCCUAACUCUCUUCAGGAUUCACUAAUGUCACAUUAACUUCAGAGAUACCAGUUAGAUAACUCUCACAAAUAUUUACAUUAACUUCAAAGAUAACAUCUGAUAAGACAAAACCCAACCGUUCAAGUCUUUCACAAUACCUAGUUUAAUACAAAAGCUUCAACCCUUAAUAGGAUAUUAAAGGGGUGCACAUACACAAAAGUCUUUACGCUAACUUGCUAAGAUCCCCCGUUCAAACCCUGACCACCAAUUCCUAUAAGGAAAACAAACUAAACGGUUGAGUUAAAGUUUAGUGAGGUUUACCAAGGAAGUAACAUUUAACAAACACUUGAAAUAGUACAAUUAAGCAAGUAAUGCACAUUUCACUAUUCAAACACUUUCAAAGGAUACAAACUACUCCUGAGAGUCAUUUCAACAUCAUUGUACAUUCCGCCAAUUCAUUCCCUUAUAUCCUCCAAAACUAAUAAACGAUCCCCUCAAUUCAGUGAUCAGUUCGAUAAUCCACCAACUUCUAGGUAAUACUCGAGUAUACCGAAACAUUUAUCCAGAGCUUCCGUUCUAUCCGACAAAGCCUUUUGCUGGCUCGAAUAGCCCGUUGAACAAAGGAUUUUGGGCCCAGUUCACCUAAUGCGGCUUACAUUCAUGCACAUAUAUAAUAUCAUUUGAUCAAUUAUCAACCUUCAAGUUCAACUAAGCCGUGUGCGAUAUAGUACAUCCCCGACUUAGAAGGCGAUGGACAAUUGAUUUACACAUUACAAGGAUUCACUAGCAAUAUCCAUAGUACAUACAUUUAUCACAUAAUUUCAUUUAAGAACAUAAACAGUUAAGCAUAUAGUUCGGCAACACUCACUAAAUAUUCAAAUAACUACUCUCAGGCUUCAGGGUGGCUUCCUGGCUCACAGCUACUUCCUGAAGCAAGUUAAUAAUUUUAAAGUAAAUACAUAAUUUGUAGAUGUUCACUUAUUGUUCUUACCUUACCAUUUGAACUAUUAAAAUCAAGUUUGACUUUAAAAUACAAAAUAUAACAUGUUUAAUAUUCAUUUAUCAUUUUAUUUUGAAACUUAUUGACUUUAUUGUUUUAAUCAAGAAAUAUACAUAUUUUUCAAGUUAAUAAUUUAUAAAAUAUUUAUUUUAGGAUUAAAUCAUUUUCCACUGAAGAUUCUAAGAUUAAGGCUUGCGAAUAUUCCAUUGGUUCCUUUUAACUAGUUAAACUUUAGGUUAUUUGGAAAUCAAAUUUAAUUCCAUUACACCAACCCCUCAAAUUUUAUAAUCUUUAAAAUAUUCAUGAAGACAAGAUUAAGUAAUUAAAAGGCAAUUUAUGUAUAUAAUACGAGUUUUCCUCUCAUUUACCUUAGUUUAACUCUACUCGUAGAACUAGAUAUAGUCAUUAAAUCUCAGAGCAACCGUAACUAUCAUUUAUGUAAGCUUACAAAGUUGGAAUUAGCAGAAUUGCUGUUCAAAAUUUGGUUUGCUCAAUGCCAGCAUCAAAGCAAGUUGCAUUCGGGAAACAAGAGAAAGGCAACGAGAAGGGCAGCUUUGCCAUCCUCUGAGGUUUUGAUCACAAGUGAAGCUACACUCAUCGAAUUGAGGCAAAUGUUAUAGCGUUUCGAAGCUAAGACAUAGACCUACAUUUCCUAUAAAGACAUCAAUAUCUAGUUCUUGCAUUUUCAAGGUCAAAAGUGGACGGUCAGAAGCACAUUCUGCUUCAUUCUCUCGGACAUCAACCUGCAAUCAGUCGGGUUCAAGAGCUCUGCUUUACUCACAUUGGGUUCAGGUUAUUUCGGUCUUACUUGCUGAGGUUAAGGGACUUAUGAUAUUUUACAACUUAAUACACUAGUUUAGAAGCUAUGAUUUGCAAGAAAUAGCCAAGAUUUCUUAUGUUUUCUUUCUCGGAUGAAGCCAACAGGUUCAGCAGUGUAGCAGUUUAAUACAGGGGCGGAUUUACAGUGGGGGCACUGGGGGCACGGGCCCCCACUGCCCUCCUUAAAUUCCUAUAAUACUCCUAUAAUUUUGAUACAAUUUUAAUGGUGCCCCCAGAAUUUUUUUAAAAAAAUAUGAAAGAAUGGGUCACAAAAUUUAUAUCAUUCACUUUCCUCCUCUAAGGACCAGAUAUCAAUUAUAUCAGUCAUUACUUUUGGUCCCCACUCUCCAAGUUUCCUUUACUCCUGUGGUCCCCAUUUCACUUCAUAACCCACGACUCCUCUUCUUCCACACCCAACUAACUACUCUUUCUUUUUAUUACUUCAUCCAAUCAACAUUAAUCAUUUACUUCCUUUGUCCCCAUUCCCCAAUUUUCUUUUCCUCUUUUGCCUCUUGGUUGUCCCCACUGAAAAUGGUCUCUCCCAUCAAAUAGUCCGAUCCUGGUUUUCCUGUCAUGAAAAUGGUGUUGUUGACUACUUCAAACAGUGUUCCAUUAAAGGAGUAGGCUUUUUGAAAACCAAGACCUGCUUUCUUCAGUUCAACCGCAAGAAACCAGUCCUUGAAGCUGACUUCUUUCCAAUUAAAUAACGUGAUAUGGGGCACAAAGGAAGUAAAGGGACCUGAGUCUGCCACAGUGCCACUGAUUUGCAACUCUUUUCACCAAUUUUGGGAGACCAUUAAAAUCAGGUUCUAAACAAUUACUUAUUAUUAUUAUUAUUUUAAAUUUGUUUGCAAAUAUAUUUCUAGAGCAUGAGAUUAUUACUGUUUUAGAGAAAUUUGAAAAUUGAUUAGUUAAUGUAAUAACUAAUAAAUGGGUUAUUUGAUAUUUGAUAAAUAUUUUAACUUGUGAAAUGGUGAUUUUAUAGAUUUAUAAUUUAUAAUUUAUUUUUUAUUUUCCUUGAUUAGUUUCUUAUUUGGAGUUAAUGUAAUGAUGAAUAGAGGGCCAUUUGACAUAUAUUUUAACUUUUAAAUUAUUCUUAUAUGGAUCCUUUUGUCUAAUUAACUUGAUUAUGUUCAUAUAUUCUGAUUAAUGAUUUGAUAUAGUAAUGAAUGAAUAAGUUGUGAUUUGAUAUAGUAAUGAUAUGUUGUGAUUAAUGAUUUAAUAAAUAACUUUAACUUGUAAAAUAGUUCUUGGAUAGAUUAUUAGAUUUUAUUGUACAUUUAAUAUUUUAAUUGGAUUAGUAUCUUAUAUAUUGAUUUUAAUUUCUUUAGCUAUGGAGAGAUAUUUCAAGAGGAAAUCAAUGGAAAAAGAGCCAUCUAAUAAAGAAGAAGCCAAGGAUAAUGAAGGUGCAAAAAAUGACAAUAAAAGAAAUUUUUAAAUAAAAUUAUUAUUACAUUAAUAAUUUUGAGUUUGUCUUUUUACGUUUUUCAUGGAAUAUACAUAUCAAUUGUACUUGUUAGUGAAUUUAUUUAUUUUUUGCUCAAAAAAUUAAAAAAAGAGUAGAUAAAAAAUUUUAGUAUUAUUUGUGCCCCCACUAAGAUUUUUUUCUGGCUCCGCCCCUGGGGACCAAAGAAAAGAAAUGUCACAAAAUAAGAAGUCUUGAAGAAACUUCUUCCUCCCGUAGUCCCUCUUCAACAUGGAGAUUGGAUGAAGCUCAUCACCUACUAGAGCUCCACCCUAACUCGAUUGAUAUCUUCCACGACCAUGAGCUUAAGCUUCAUUAGACGGUAACGGUAAAUGGCAUUGACUUCAAUCUGAAGGGGAUGAAUAUUAGGAGGAGCCGAAAUUAGUGAGGUGAAGCAGUGGAGGUUGCAGAUGAUAAUGUAAAGUUUCAUCAGUUGCAUUGCUAUUAU
rnacentral:lncRNA from 1 species